AGCCCGUAUGACCCAGUUAGGUCCUGCCCAGGCUCUUGACCCAUGGAAACAGUAACGUAAAAAAAAAAAAAAAAAAAAAAAAGAUGCUAUUUUAAGCUGCCGAGUUUGUGUUAAUGUGUUGCCCAGUAAUAGAAAUUUAAUACAGAAGUAAACAAACCCUUUUGACUAUCGGUGGAAGUUACUUCCACUCCCUCUUAACCAUCUUUAUCUCAGCUCUGAAAAAUAGAUGCUUUUAACUCCGUUUGUUGCAGAUAAGUCUGAAGCCCAGGAAAGCGAUGGAACUUACUGAAGGCCGCCUUGCUAUCUGGCACCUGAGCUAGAACUCAGCUCCAAGCCCAGCAAAUAAAGCCCACAGUUUAAGACACCCACUAAGUUCUGCCCCUCCCCCUCAGCCUUGCUCUUCAGAAACCUGUUCCUUCAAUGAGAAAUCUCAACCAAGAGUUUCAAGGUACAUCUGUUGCCAGCCAGACCCUGAACUGGACAGUACUCGAUGGAAGAAAGAGAUGAGAGUGUCCUGCAUGCCAGCUCUCCUCUUGCUUGACUUCAGCCCCACUGUAAGCAGACCCCAUCAGAGUUUACAUCCCUUGAGAAGCAUUGUAAUUGAUCUUUGGAUCAGUAGCUGGUUAAGAAGACCUUUCUUCUUUGGUUUGGGGAAAGUGAACUUAAUGAAGUACUGGACCCCACAAAUCGGGAGGAAAAUGAAGAUAUGUUUAUAGCUUAAUAUGGUAGGU
rnacentral:lncRNA from 1 species